rnacentral:rRNA from 1 species
UUACUAAAGUAGUAAUAGAUAUAAGCUUGAAACUUAAAAAAUUUGGCGGUAUUUUAAUCUUUUCAGAGGAACCUGUUCUGUAAUCGAUAUUCCCCGUUUAAUUUUACUAAGUUAUUUGUAUAUCGUUGUCGAAAGAAUAAAUUUUCUAGUAUUAAAAUUUUAAUAGAUGUCAAAUCAAGGUGCAGUUAAUAACUUAGAAGAAAUGGGUUACAAUAAAUUUAUUUAGAAGUUAAAUAAAGGUGGAUUUGAAAGUAAAUUAA